CUGGUGGUUUCUGUGAGUGCGAAAGAGAGAGAUUUGGUUUGUAGUUAAGAGAGAAGGUGAGAUUUGAACUGACGAAACUAAUGAACGGAGUGGGCCCCACGGAGCUCUCUGUUACUUGAACUCCCCAUAAUACCCCUUUCUUCAGUACAUGUAACGAUGAAUGAUGCAGGUUGUAUUGUGAUUGGGAGGGAGAGCGACGAAUGAUGCAGGUUGUAUUGUGAUUGGGAGAGAGAGAGAGAGAGAGAGAGAGAGAGAGAGAGAGAGAGAGAGAGAGUUGAUGGGCCAUCAUGGGCAUGAUCAGAACCGUUCAUCAUGGGGUUGCACCAUGCUAACCCAGGCUGCUCUAUGCGUGGGUAUGUACAUGGCAUUUUACAUUGGUACCCCUAUGAAAUCGAACAAGAGAAGUGCAGGAGACGGCAGAGCUCUUGAUUUACACUUUCUCACUGUCUCUGGAGGCCAAAGACCCCCAAAACAACAGGCCCAUCUCCUCAAACAGAUGGAGAAGGUAGCAAAGACCUACAAAGUGAAGUUUGUAAUAAACAUCAGUGAACUUGGGGAGGACGAUCCACUUCUCAGAAAUGGCACACUGCAUUUCCCAUCACUGAAGAUUCCCUGGUAUACUACUAUUAGUAGAGCAUCGCAGGAACAAGGUAGGGGAUACUUCCUGAGUCAGGUUACAGUGCCACCCCAGCGAACCUUAGACAUCAUUGGUUUGGAGACGGGUUCAUUACAAGAUCUCUUCCGCAAUGAACGAUUAAGCGACAUCGAAAACGAUCAAUUGCAUUGGCUGAUGAGGACAUUGGCAGCGAGUGAUAGCGAAUGGCGCAUAGUUGUUGGAUUUCAUCCACUGAUAGUUUGUGACGAGCAUGCGACGGUAACAACAAGGGUUUAUGAGUCUCUACACCAAAUUUUCUUGAACUAUCAAGUGAAGGCAUAUCUGAGCAAGCAUGGUUGCACUGGCUAUUAUAACAGCGAUAGAGGUAUUGUUUACAUUGAAAACCCAGGCCAUGUCAAUGAAAACCACAGACCUCCCUCAGUAAAUGAAACUUCCAAUUCCCUUAAAGAAAUGCAUGAUGGCUUCCUUCUGCAUAGAGUCAGCUCCCUAGAGUUUGUGAGUAUCAGUUCUUGACUAACUCUUUCGGACGUUUCGGCAUUCAGCAGCAAUGGAAUGUGCUCAUGCCAAAGCCAGGAAAUGGGAACCUGUCCAAAGCAGUUUCCGUUUCCCUGUGCCACCCAAAAAUCAACUCGGAACAAAAGAUUUAGCAAGCGGUGACUCAGACUGACUUGUUUGGUCCUGAGUUAAGUCGCAUCUCAGAUGAGUUGGGCUGAGUCACCACUUAUUUCCAAUUCUGGCUUGUGGUGCCGUUUGACUCGGACCAGGAUCAGUUCUUUCAAAAACCUGAAAAUUUUACUGGACUCGAUGUCCAGCUGGGUCAGGUGUACUGGAAGACUCGACCCAACUCCACUGAAUAUUUAUAAUUUUAAGAAAAGAUCUCAUGUUCUACCAGUUGGACCAUAAACCCUGUUUAAAAAUAUUAGUAACAGUAUAUGUAUUUAACACAGAAUUACAGAACUCAUAUAAAAUACAACCAUCAUCAAAUGACAGGAUGACAAAUUGGUUAAGUUGUCUCCCAAUUGUUGAGUUCGGGUUCGAUUCUCUCGCUCCCCUUUUCUCAUUUUAGUUAGAGCUGUACAUGAGCUGAACCAAGUCGAUCUUGGCCCAGCUUGGCUCGGCUCGGCCAACAGGCUACUCCAGCUCGAACUUGGCUCGGUCCUCGAGCCUGAUUGGCCAGCUCGGCUCGGUCAGCAGCUUGGCCCAACUCGAGCUGAGUUCGAGCCUACGAGCUGAGUUCGAGUUUAAGUUUUAGGGUAUUUCAAUAUAUAUAAUAUAUAUUAUCAUAUAUAUAAUAUAAUAUAUAAUUUAUUUAAAUAUAUAAAUAUAUACAAAAUAUUUACAUUAAGUGAACCCCAUCAGAGUCGAAUCAAUUCAAACUGAGUCAAGUUCGUUUACAGUUCUAAUUUUAGUAAUGUUUAAACUGUGACUCAGUCGAUGACGGGUUCGAUUGUGACUUAGUUGGAGUCACCGUGAAUGUGAGUAGUGUCAAUUCAACUGAGUGGUUGAGUCGAGUUAACGAAUAAGAUCUUGUGGACUCAAGUUGACUCAGCCCAAAUUUGGAGUCGACAAAAGAAGAAGAAGAAGA